GGAAGCAUGGAUGCAUCAGCUGCAGCGAGAAAUCAGUUCAGAGUUUAGCUGAUAGCCAAGAAAGUUGGUGUUCAAGCAGUUCAACGGCUGUGCUGCAGAGAAGAAGGCCGGGUAGGGCAGCCGGACAAUCUUUUAUUUCCAGGGCAUGCGUCUUCACGAGCAGGAGAACAUUGGCAACAGUUGAAGGCGAGCAAUUGCCAACAGGGACCAAGACAAUUAGAGCCAGUCAAAAGAAUUAUUAGAAAGUUUGUGUGGAAGAAAAGUAUGACCAGAACUCAGGAAGAGCAGAAAGAGUAGGAAUACCAGUAUAAUUUACGAUCACUACAUUAUCUAUCGGAAGAACAAUAUACUCACGGGCUGCAGAAGAGGUACAAGCAAAAAUAAAUUGCAGACAGUGCCAAGUGUUAAGGGCAAACGAGGACUCGAUAUUGAAAAAAAUCAUGUACUGGACUCGAUAUUGAAAAAAUCAUGAAGGGCAACUUCAAUCUAACGAAUCAACAAAUGCUGGACUCGAUAUUGAAAAGAUCGUGUACCUGCCUAUAU